rnacentral:rRNA from 1 species
GACGAACGCUGGCGGCGUGCUUAACACAUGCAAGUCGAGCGAUGAAACACCUUCGGGUGCGGAUUAGCGGCGAACGGGUGAGGAACACGUGAGGAAUCUGCCUUCCACUCUGGGAUAACUCCGGGAAACCGGGGCUAAUACCGGAUACUUUCAGCUGGCGGCAUCGCCGGUUGAAGAAAGUUUUUCGGUGGAAGAUGACCUCGCGGCCUAUCCGCUUGUUGGUGAGGUAAAGGCUCACCAAGGCGACGACGGGUAGCCGGCCUGAGAGGGCGACCGGCCACACUGGGACUGAGACACGGCCCAGACUCCUACGGGAGGCAGCAGUGGGGAAGAUUGGGCAAUGGAGGAAACUCUGACCCAGCGACGCCGCGUGAGGGAUGAAGGCCUUCGGGUUGUAAACCUCUUUCAGCAGGGAAUAAGCGAAAGUGAAGGUACCUGCAGAAGAAGCACCGGCUAACUAUGUGCCAGCCGCCGCGGUAA